UCCUAUGAUAACAUGAAAUUUAUUUUUUAGACCUUAAUCUCUUAAUUGAUGAAAUCUAUAAGCAUAAUCGCUGAGGAU